rnacentral:rRNA from 1 species
UUAGAGUUUGAUCCUGGCUCAGAACGAACGCUGGCGGCGUGCUUAACACAUGCAAGUCGAACGCGAAAGGGACUUCGGUCCUGAGUAAAGUGGCGCACGGGUGAGUAACACGUGGAUAAUCUACCCAGUGUUCCGGGAUAACAUCUCGAAAGGGGUGCUAAUACCGGAUAAGCCCACGGGAACUUCGGUUCUUGCGGGAAAAGGUGGGGACCUUUUAGGCCUACUGUCACUGGAUGAGUCCGCGGCCCAUUAGCUAGUUGGUAGGGUAAUGGCCUACCAAGGCUACGAUGGGUAGCUGGCCUGAGAGGAUGAUCAGCCACACUGGAACUGAGACACGGUCCAGACUCCUWCGGGAGGCAGCAGUGGGGAAUUUUGCGCAAUGGGCGAAGGCCUGACGCAGCAACGCCGCGUGAGUGAUGAAGGCCUUCGGGUCGUAAAGCUCUGUCAGAGGGGAAGAACCUCCUGAGGGAUAAUAACCCUCAGGCCUGACGGUACCCUCAAAGGAAGCACCGGCUAACUCCGUGCCAGCAGCCGCGGUAAUACAAGGGCGAAUURKRSAMAUAUCCAUCMCASWGKCGGCCGMUCGWGCAUGCMUCUAGAGGCCCAAGAAACAGCUAGUAMCAYWMC